rnacentral:rRNA from 1 species
GACGAACGCUGGCGGCGUGCCUAAUACAUGCAAGUCGAGCGAAGUUUUUCUGGUGCUUGCUCCGGAAAAACUUAGCGGCGAACGGGUGAGUAACACGUAAAGAACCUGCCUCAUAGACUGGGACAACUAUUGGAAACGAUAGCUAAUACCGGAUAAUAGCAUUAACUGCAUGGUUGAUGUUUAAAAGUUGGUUUUGCUAACACUAUGAGAUGGCUUUGCGGUGCAUUAGCUAGUUGGUGGGGUAAAGGCCUACCAAGGCGACGAUGCAUAGCCGACCUGAGAGGGUGAUCGGGCACACUGGGACUGAGACACGGCCCAGACUCCUACGGGAGGCAGCAGUAGGGAAUCUUCCGCAAUGGGCGAAAGCCUGACGGAGCAACGCCGCGUGAGUGAAGAAGGAUUUCGGUUCGUAAAGCUCUGUUGUUAGGGAAGAAUGAUUGUGUAGUAACUAUACACAGUAGAGACGGUACCUAACCAGAAAGCCACGGCUAACUACGUG